AUACGGAGGGUCCAAGCGUUAUCCGGAAUCAUUGGGUUUAAAGGGUGCGCAGGCGGUUUAUUAAGUCAGUGGUGAAAUCUCGAGGCUCAACCUCGAAACUGCCAUUGAUACUGAUAAACUUGAGUUCAGUUGGAGUAGGCGGAAUGUGUAGUGUAGCGGUGAAAUGCUUAGAUAUUACACAGAACACCGAUAGCGAAGGCAGCUUACUAAACUGAUACUGACGCUGAGGCACGAAAGCGUGGGGAGCGAACAGGAUUAGAAACCCUUGUAGUCC
rnacentral:rRNA from 1 species